CAGCCGCCACGGUAAUACAGAGGGUGCGAGCGUUAAUCGGAUUUACUGGGCGUAAAGCGUGCUUAGGCGGCUUUUUAAGUCGGAUGUGAAAUCCCUGAGCUUAACUUAGGAAUUGCAUUCGAUACUGGGAAUCUAGAGUAUGGGAGAGGAUGGUAGAAUUCCAGGUGUAGCGGUGAAAUGCGUAGAGAUCUGGAGGAAUACCGAUGGCGAAGGCAGCCAUCUGGCCUAAUACUGACGCUGAGGUACGAAAGCAUGGGGAGCAAACAGGAUUAGAUACCCCUGUAGUCCCUGUCUCUUAUAC
rnacentral:rRNA from 1 species